rnacentral:rRNA from 1 species
UACAGAGGUGGCAAGCGUUGUUCGGAAUUACUGGGCGUAAAGGGCUCGUAGGCGGCCAACUAAGUCGGAUGUGAAAUCCCCAGGCUUAACCUGGGAACUGCAUCCGAUACUGGAUGGCUUGAAUCCGGGAGAGGGAUGCAGAAUUCCAGGUGUAGCGGUGAAAUGCGUAGAUAUCUGGAGGAAUACCGGUGGCGAAGGCGGCAUCCUGGACCGGCAUUGACGCUGAUGAGCGAAAGCUAGGGGAGCAAACGGGG